GCCGGGAUGGCGGAAUGGUAGACGCAGGGGACUUAAAAUCCCCCAGGCUCAGGCCUGUGUGGGUUCGAAUCCCACUCCCGGCA
rnacentral:tRNA from 1 species